rnacentral:rRNA from 1 species
UACGGGGGGGGCAAGCGUUGUUCGGAAUUACUGGGCGUAAAGGGCGCGUAGGCGGCUUGGUAAGUCGGGGGUGAAAGUCAGCGGCUCAACCGCUGGACUGCCUUCGAGACUGCCUGGCUUGAGCAUGGUAGAGGCUGGCGGAAUUCCCGGUGUAGCGGUGGAAUGCGUAGAGAUCGGGAAGAACAUCGGUGGCGAAGGCGGCCAGCUGGGCCAUUGCUGACGCUGAUGCGCGACAGCGUGGGGAGCAAACAGG